rnacentral:rRNA from 1 species
UACAGAGGGUGCGAGCGUUGUCCGGAAUCACUGGGCGUAAAGGGCGCGUAGGCGGCCUGUUAAGUCGGACGUGAAAUCCCCGGGCUCAACCCGGGAACUGCGUCCGAUACUGGCAGGCUUGAAUCCGGGAGAGGGAUGUGGAAUUCCAGGUGUAGCGGUGAAAUGCGUAGAUAUCUGGAGGAACACCGGUGGCGAAGGCGGCAUCCUGGACCGGCAUUGACGCUGAGGCGCGAAAGCCAGGGGAGCAAACGGG